CAUGAAGUCGGAAUCGCUAGUAAUCGCGAGUCAGCAUAUCGCGGUGAAUACGUUCCCGGGUCUUGUACACACCGCCCGUCACACCAUGGGAGUUGGCAACACCCGAAGUCGAUGAGCUAACCGUAAGGAGGCAGUCGCCUAAGGUGGGGUUGAUAACUGGGGUGAAGUCGUAACAAGGUAUC
rnacentral:rRNA from 1 species